rnacentral:rRNA from 1 species
ACAAUGGAGAGUUUGAUCCUGGCUCAGGAUGAACGCUAGCUACAGGCUUAACACAUGCAAGUCGAGGGGAAACGAUAGAGAAAGCUUGCUUUUUCUAGGCGUCGACCGGCGCACGGGUGAGUAACGCGUAUCCAACCUGCCCAUCACUUGGGGAUAACCUUGCGAAAGUAAGACUAAUACCCAAUGACGUCUCUAGAAGACAUCUGAAAGAGAUUAAAGAUUUAUCGGUGAUGGAUGGGGAUGCGUCUGAUUAGCUUGUUGGCGGGGUAACGGCCCACCAAGGCGACGAUCAGUAGGGGUUCUGAGAGGAAGGUCCCCCACAUUGGAACUGAGACACGGUCCAAACUCCUACGGGAGGCAGCAGUGAGGAAUAUUGGUCAAUGGACGAGAGUCUGAACCAGCCAAGUAGCGUGCAGGAAGACGGCCCUAUGGGUUGUAAACUGCUUUUAUAAGGGAAUAAAGUGAGUCUCGUGA